CAAGUUUGUCGUACUGCUGGACGGAGGCCUAGUAAAGCUUGUGGAAGAGAAACCUGCCCAGGAAGAACUCGAUUUGUUGCAAAUAGCUUUGUGGGAUAAACCCCGGUGUGUGGAGACCAGCUGGAGCCAGGGACAGAGGAAAGACUGUCUUCAAGGGUUGGUCUGUGUGGAGCAGAAGCAGCUCGGCUGGGAAGGCAGAAUUUCUCUCCAGUGCUUUGUGUGUGGAAGGGGCCUCUCAGCUCACCAUAGCUGAGAAUAACACAGCUGUCCCACAGGUUAACCCUAAAAUGCUCGCCCGCCAAUGGUAUUGAGCCAAGGAUGACAAAAAGAACGGUACAUGUGCGCUUGCAAUGGAUUUGUUCUUGUUGCUGGUUUCCACUUUUGUAACCAAUGUGCUGCUGCUACCCAGAACUGUAAACCUGCCCAAUGCGCAUGAUCUUUUGGAAAAACCCUGGGACAUGUUCAGAGUGGUACAUAAUGCCACACCGUACGGUAGCCUCCGCCUCUGAAUCUUCCACUCCGAUUCAUCUGACGAAGUGAAUUUUACCCAUGGACACUUAUGCCCUAUGAAGUCUGUUGGUCUCUAGGGUCACGUCUACACAGCAAGGCUAAAAGCAAACAGCUUGGGAAUUUACUCGUCAAAUCAUAUUUAUACGAAACAGCAGAGAGAGGGUGCUUUGCAAAGUGAAUCUGCCCAACCUGUGUGUCUUUGCAUGUGUUCCCGCAGUCUGCUGAGAAACGGAAAUUGUAAGGCGAGAACUCUCAAGAAGAAGAGCAGGUAGUUAAACAGGGCAGAUUAGAGCCGUUCAUUCCCGUUUUAUGAGGUUGUAAGUGUAUGUCCAGCAUGUUAGUGAUGAGAUGUAAUUGUAACUGUUACUUUGAAAACACAAAAUUUAGUAUUUUAUCAAUGAUUUUAAAAAACAAAAAAAUACGAUUUAAAUUAAAAAACUGAUUUUUAAUAUAUUUUUUUAAUCAUUGCUUUGUGUCCACCCUGGAAAUUAUCCAAAGCAAUGACACCAUUUGAAAUCCUGUCUUGUCUCCCAGCGGUAAUGAAAGAUUCACUGACACAUUGUUUGUUUUUGUCAAGAUUCGUCUGUCCAAAGAGAAGCAAGAAUGUUGAAGGGGAUCAAAAUAGGGCUCGCACUCACUUUUGUCUUUGUCCUGGCCUUUGUCUAUAAACGUUUCCUGCCGCGUGGCCACAGCUUCUUUUGGACGCCGAGUCCUGAGCUCUUCGCGACACAAAAGGAUGAUGUGAACCAGACCAGCGGCAUCAUCUUUGUGGAGACCACAUACCGCUUGCAGAUUCCUCCGUUGGCUUCAUGUUCUGUGGAAUCUGCUGCCAGGGCCUACC